AUCGAACGCUGGCGGCACGCCUAACACAUGCAAGUCGAACGAGUGGCGGACGGGUGAGUAAUGUCUGGGAAACUGCCUGAUGGAGGGGGAUAACUACUGGAAACGGUAGCUAAUACCGCAUACCAUAAGAUGUGCCCAUAUGGGAUUAGCUUGUUGGGGGGGUAACGGCUGACCAAGGCUACGAUCCCUAGCUGGUCUGAGAGGAUGACCAGCCACACUGGAAGUGAGACAGGGUCCAGACACCGACGCGAGGCAGCAGUGGGGAAUACUACGCGAGGGGCGCGUGCCGGAUGCUGCCAUGUCGCGUGUAUUAAGAAGGCCCUCGGGUUGGAAAAUACUGUCAGCGGGGGGGCGUUACCCGAAGAAGAAGCACCGGCUAACUCCGUGCCAGCAGCCGCGGUAAUAC
rnacentral:rRNA from 1 species